GGUCUAUUAGCUCAGUCGGUAGAGCACCUGACUUUUAAUCAGGGUGUCCC
rnacentral:tRNA from 1 species